UACGUAGGGUGCAAGCGUUAAUCGGAAUUACUGGGCGUAAAGCGUGCGCAGGCGGUUUUGUAAGUCUGUCGUGAAAGCCCCGGGCUCAACCUGGGAAUUGCGAUGGAGACUGCAAGGCUUGAAUCUGGCAGAGGGGGGUUGAAUUCCACGUGUAGCAGUGAAAUGCGUAGAGAUGUGGAGGAACACCGAUGGCGAAGGCAGCCCCCUGGGUCAAGAUUGACGCUCAUGCACGAAAGCGUGGGGAGCAAACAGG
rnacentral:rRNA from 1 species